AGUGGAGACAGGGUACAGGGCAGAAUGAACCAGUGUUACAGUACCAGAGAAAAUCUGGUCUCAGCUCUUCCUCCACCCUUCUCUGAGACCGUGGAGGGCAGUUUGUUGGGCGUGGUGACACCGAAUCCAUCUGUGAGGACUACUAGUUAAUUCUCAGUCCUUGGGGCUUUCCAAAAACCGAAGACCAGAAAUACAGAAAAAUAAAACAAAAAACCAGAGCCACUGCUGCUGCCCUUCCAAGGCCAUGAAAAGAACCUUAUUUCAGCUGGGAUUGGCAAAAGGGAAGUUUCUCAACAAUCUGACUUCCCUUGGCUUCGCAGUGCCUCGCUGUGUACUUGAAUGGAUGCGGGAUUCAGCCUGCCAUUGCCCUGGGCAAACGACCCAUUUUCCUAACACCAUUAAACUGAACAAUGAUGGAAAUGGGAGAGAAUGGGCCCACCCUAAAGCCCUAAGGUGGCUGGGUGAUCAGUAAGUCUGGGCAAAUUUGGAGCUGAUCCUGUGAAGGAAACCACCUCACCCCCUGCACUUCAUGGAAUGUGUUCUGGUUGAGCUUCUUGGCUCUCCAUCUACUUUUCAUAAUGACCAGAGCUUGUCUGAGCAGAGCUCACUGCAUGUGCUAGGGUGCUUUAUAGGCACAGCUCCGGUUCAUUUUUACAACGGUCGGUUCACAAACCCUGGGCCAAUCCCAUUUCCAAUUUACUGUGGAGGCUAGAGAAGUAGAAAGACUUGCCCAGGAGCAGACAACCAAUGAGUGCCUCCUAAACCCACAUCUGUGCAGCUAAAGAGGAACUCUGGACGGAAUGGAGAGAAGGCAUCAGGCUCAAGGAGACAGGUCAUAUACAUUCUGUAAUAGCCCUUUGUUUCCUAAUCUAACACUGUCCAAUACUGGCAACUCUGCCUUUGUUAUAGACUUGAAGCUAGGAUGCAACAACAAGCAUGGUGCUUCUGCAAAGAGACAGCUAAAACAAAACUUAAUAAAUAAAAGAGAAGCAUAGCCCAGUUCAUUAAAUGGCUAGUUAAAUAAUGUGCCUGACAAAUGUCAGCUCUUUUCUCUUUUUCUACCCCUGAUCUCUGGCUGCCAUGUCCCUUUGGGGUUCCUCCUUCUGCUGAUCUUCCUGUCUUCCUUCAUGGCUCAGCCCUGUCUCAGUGACACUCAUAUUGUUCCCCAGAGAGAACCUUCUGCGCCACCUAGAGGACACUUUACUGGGUUUUUUGAGAAGAAACGUUGGGAUACUGAGAACUGAGGGAAGAAGGCUGUUGAGAAAGGCGGGCCACUGUCCAGAAGUCAAAGGUGAUGGAUGGCAACAACCACUAUGCCUACCUAAGACGUUCAUCCCGUCCUUGAACUCCAGGCCCUUCUUGAUAACGAUCUUAGUUUCUUCAGGGGCCUCGUUCAUGGUUUCAUUCAACAUGGAGAUGACCGCCUUGGUGGUAUUGGCCUCCUCAGAUGGAGGUGCCACCAGAACUUUCUUUGUCACUGUCUGAAUCUAAUGGAGCAGGAAGGAAAAAGAAUAAAGGUGAAGGUCAGUCUAAAAGGUCAACAACAACCCAGCCAGCCAGUCAUACACUUGAACCUUCCCAAGAUGUUAACUACAACUAUGAAAUGCCAAAACAAGGCUAAUAAAACUGGGGAAUAUUUUAUGA
rnacentral:lncRNA from 1 species